rnacentral:SRP_RNA from 1 species
GGCCGGGUCCCGUACAAUAGAGCCCUUACUGAAUCCGCUAGGUCCGGAAGGAAGCAACGGCGUUUAAGGGACUAUGUGAUAUGGGGUGCUCGGCCACU